AGAGUUUGAUCCUGGCUCAGAACGAACGCUGGCGGCGUGCCUAAUACAUGCAAGUCGUGCGAGAAAGUACCCUUCGGGGUGCGAGUAGAGCGGCGAACGGGUGAGUAACACGUAAGUAAUCUGCCUCUAAAUUCAGAAUAACUUCGAGAAAUCGGGGCUAAUGCUGAAUGUGGUUCUUUUAAUGCAUGUUAGAAGAACUAAAGGUGACCUCUUCUUGAAAGUUACUGUUUAGAGAUGAGCUUGCGCACCAUUAGUUUGUUGGUGGGGUAAUGGCCUACCAAGACUGUGAUGGUUAGCCGACCUGAGAGGGUGAUCGGCCACAUUGGGACUGAGAUACGGCCCAGACUCCUACGGGAGGCAGCAGUAGGGAAUUUUGCGCAAUGGACGAAAGUCUGACGCAGCAACGCCGCGUGAGUGAUGAAGGCUCUCGGGUUGUAAAGCUCUGUUGAGUGGGAAGAAAAAUUCCAGGUCUAAUAUAUCUGGAACAUGACGGUACCAUUCGAGGAAGCCCCGGCUAACUACGUGCCAGCAGCCGCGGUAAUACGUAGGGGGCAAGCGUUGUUCGGAUUUACUGGGUGUAAAGGGAGCGUAGGCGGGAAGGUAAGUUAAGAGUUUAAUGUACAGGCUCAACUUGUAAGCUGCUCUUAAAACUGCCUUUCUUGAGUAUUGGAGAGGAUGAUGGAAUUCCAGGUGUAGCGGUGGAAUGCGUAGAUAUCUGGAAGAACACCAGUUGCGAAGGCGGUCAUCUGGCCAAAUACUGACGCUGAGGCUCGAAAGCUAGGGGAGCAAACAGGAUUAGAUACCCUGGUAGUCCUAGCCGUAAACGAUGGAUACUAGAUGCUGGAGGGGUUAUUCUCUUCAGUGUCGGAGCUAACGUAUUAAGUAUCCCGCCUGGGGAGUACGCUCGCAAGGGUGAAACUCAAAGGAAUUGACGGGGGCCCGCACAAGCGGUGGAGCUUGUGCUUUAAUUCGAUCAACGCGAAGAACCUUACCUGGGUUUGACAUGGGAAUGCAAUCUUGUAGAGAUAUGAGACCUUCCUUCGGGAACAUUCCACACAGGUGCUGCAUGGUUGUCGUCAGCUCGUGUCGUGAGAUGUUGGGUUAAGUCCCGCAACGAGCGCAACCCUUGUCCUUAGUUGCCAGCGAGUAAUGUCGGGAACUCUAAGGAGACUGCCUAGUUUAACUAGGAGGAAGGUGGGGAUGACGUCAAAUCCUCAUGGCCCUUACGCCCAGGGCUUGACACGUGCUACAAUGUCGGUACAGAGGGCUGCGAAGUCGCGAGGCUAAGCUAAUCCCACAAAACCGGCCUCAGUUCGGAUUGGAGUCUGCAAUUCGACUCCAUGAAGUUGGAAUCGCUAGUAAUCGUAGAUCAGCAAUGCUACGGUGAAUACGUUCCCGGGUCAUGUACUCACCGCCCGACACACCAUGGGAGUUGAUUUCACCCGAAAUUGGGAAGCUAACCUUCGGGAGGCUACCA
rnacentral:rRNA from 1 species